CAUCUUCGGGGCAGGGUGUAAUUCCCGACCGGCGGUAAAGGAAAUUCAUUUUUCCAAGCCCGCGAGCUUAACAGCUGAUACCGGUGUAAUUCCGGAGCCGACAGUAUAGUCUGGAUGGGAGAAGGUG
rnacentral:ncRNA from 1 species